rnacentral:rRNA from 1 species
GACGAACGCUGGCGGCGUGCUUAACACAUGCAAGUCGAGCGGAGCGGCGAACGGGUGAGUACCGCGUGAGUAACUGCCCCCCUCUCUGGGAUAACAGUUGGAAACGGCUGCUAAUACCGGAUCGUGGGGGAUGACUCGCGUCCUAUCAGCUUGUUGGUGGGGUAGUGGCCUACCAAGGCGACGACGGGGAGCCGGCCUGAGAGGGCGACCGGCCACAUGGGGCGGCGAGACGGACCAAACUCGAACGGGAGGCAGCAGGGGGGAAUAUUGCACAAUGGGGGAAACCCUGAGGCAGCAACGCCGCGGGCGGGAUAACGGCCUGCGGGUGGUAAACCGCGUUCAGCCAUGACGCGGUAGUGGCAGAAGAAGCACCGGCUAACUACGUGCCAGCAGCCGCGGUAAUUC